AGCGAACGCUGGCGGCAUGCUUAACACAUGCAAGUCUCACGGGCAGCAAUGUCAGUGGCGGACGGGUGAGUAACGCGUAGGUAUCUAUCCAUGGGUGGGGGAUAACGUCGGGAAACUGACGCUAAUACCGCAUGACAUCUGAGGAUCAAAGGCGCGAGUCGCCUGUGGAGGAGCCUGCGUACGAUUAGCUAGUUGGUGGGGUAAAGGCCUACCAAGGCGACGAUCGUUAGCUGGUCUGAGAGGAUGAUCAGCCACACUGGGACUGAGACACGGCCCA
rnacentral:rRNA from 1 species